AAUAUGUGACCAUGGGCGAAAGCCUGAUCCAGCCAUGCCGCGUGUGUGAAGAAGGUCUUCGGAUUGUAAAUCACUUUACGUUGGGAGGAAGGGCAGUAAGUUAAUCGCUUGCUGUUUUGACGAUACCGACAGAUUAAGCACCGGCUAACUUUGUGCCGGCAGCCGCGGUAAUACGAAGGGUGCACGCUUUAAUGGGAAUUACUGGGCGUAAAGCGCGCGUAGGUUGUUUGUUAAGUUGGAAGUGAAAGCCCCGGGCACAACCUGGCAACUGCUUUCAAGACUGGCAAGCUAUAGUAUGGCCGAGGGUGGUGGAAUUUCCUGUGUAGCGGUGAAAUGCGUAAAUAUAGGAAGGAACACCAGUGGCGAAGGCGACCACCUGGGCUAAUACUGACACUGAGGUGCGAAAGCGUGGGGAGCAAAC
rnacentral:rRNA from 1 species